rnacentral:rRNA from 1 species
UACGGAGGGUGCAAACGUUGCUCGGAAUCAUUGGGCGUAAAGCGCACGUAGGCGGCUCGUUAAGUCGGAUGUGAAAGCCCCGGGCUCAACUCGGGAAGUGCAUUCGAAACUGGCGAGCUUGAAUAUGGAAGAGGGUCGCGGAAUUCCCGGUGUAGAGGUGAAAUUCGUAGAUAUCGGGAGGAACACCAGUGGCGAAGGCGGCGACCUGGGCCAAUAUUGACGCUGAGGUGCGAAAGCGUGGGGAGCAAACGGG